rnacentral:ribozyme from 11 species
CAAGACUUGAAGGAGAAAGGAAAAAAGGAACUCCUUGCAUUUCUGUUUUGUUCCUUCUUCCUUUCUCUUUCUUUCCUUCUUUCCUCUUCUUCUCUCCUUCUUUG